AAGGUGGAAAUACAAAUACGUCCGUCCGAUGGUGUAAACAAUUUGUUUUGUGUGUCACAAAAAACGGUGUAUAAAAGGAACGGGUUAUGGCGGAGCCGAUUAAAGUGAUUUCAUCCAUAAGGCCAUGGACGCCAUAAAAUGUGUUCUUAUUUUUGCCGCUUUCGCUGGAAUAGCGGAAUCGAGAAUGUUCAGGGAAUGUGAAUUUGCGGUGGAGGUGAAAUAGCACAAUAUGCCAGGAAACGUAAAAGAUUGGGUUUGCAUAGCAGAAGAUGCAUCUUUAAUCCGUACAGACUUUUCGCACGAACGCACCGUCUCCGAGUAUUCAUACUUCGGAAUUUUCGCGAUAUCAGACGAAUUCUGCGGUACUUACAAAUUGUGUGGAAUUCCUUGCAGGGACAUGAUUCAGACUGAUGGUGGCCUCGAAGCGGCGUUCGAAUGCGCAAAGAAAAUCUACGAACAAUUUCAGUUCAGCAAGUGGCCCAUAUGGGAGACAGAAUGCGAAAAGAACUACGAGUGGAACUGCUCAAUUUGAUGCGCAAAAUGAUGAGACUCCGCAAUUGCACAAUUUAAAUAUGAACUAAAAUAAAAAUAACUCGCCUAGUGCCUUAUUUUUUUCC